GACGAACGCUGGCGGCGUGCUUAACACAUGCAAGUCGAACGGAAAGGCCCUGCUUUUGUGGGGUGCUCGAGUGGCGAACGGGUGAGUAACACGUGAGUAACCUGCCCUUGACUUUGUGAUAACUUCAGGAAACUGGGGCUAAUACCGGAUAGGAUCUCCUGCUGCAUGGGGGGGGUUGGAAAGUUUCGGCGGUUGGGGAUGGACUCGCGGCUUAUCAGCUUGUUGGUGGGGUAGUGGCUUACCAAGGCUUUGACGGGUAGCCGGCCUGAGAGGGUGACCGGCCACAUUGGGACUGAGAUACGGCCCAGACUCCUACGGGAGGCAGCAGUGGGGAAUAUUGCACAAUGGGCGGAAGCCUGAUGCAGCAACGCCGCGUGCGGGAUGACGGCCUUCGGGUUGUAAACCGCUUUCGCAUGUGACGAAGCGUGAGUGACGGUAAUGGGUAAAGAAGCACCGGCUAACUACGUG
rnacentral:rRNA from 1 species